rnacentral:rRNA from 1 species
GAUCAUGCUCAGGAUGAACGCUGGCGGCGUGCUUAACACAUGCAAGUCGAGCGAAGCACUUAAGUUUGAUUCUUCGGAUGAAGACUUUUGUGACUGAGCGGCGGACGGGUGAGUAACGCGUGGGUAACCGUGCCUCAUACAGGGGGAUAACAGUUAGAAAUGGCUGGCUAAUACCGCAUAAGACCACGGUACUGCAUGGUACAGUGGUAAAAACUCCGGUGGUAUGAGAUGGACCCGCG